GACGAACGCUGGCGGCGUGCUUAACACAUGCAAGUCGAACGGAAAGGCCCUGCUUUUGUGGGGUGCUGGAGUGGCGAACGGGUGAGUAACACGUGAGUAACCUGCCCUUGACUUUGGGAUAACUUCAGGAAACUGGGGCUAAUACCGGAUAGGAGCUCCUGCUGCAUGGUGGGGGUUGGAAAGUCUCGGCGGUUGGGGAUGGACUCGCGGCUUAUCAGCUUGUUGGUGGGGUAGUGGCUUACCCAGGCUUUGACGGGUAGCCGGCCUGAGAGGGUGACCGGCCACAUUGGGACUGAGAUACGGCCCAGACUCCUACGGGGGGCAGCAGUGGGGAAUAUUGCACAAUGGGCGGAAGCCUGAUGCAGCAACGCCGCGUGCGGGAUGACGGCCUUCGGGUUGUAAACCGCUUUCGCCUGUGACGAAGCGUGAGUGACGGUAAUGGGUAAAGAAGCACCGGCUAACUACGUG
rnacentral:rRNA from 1 species